AAUCUUGCGCAAUGGGCGAAAGCCUGACGCAGCCAUGCCGCUUGAAUGAUGAAGGUCUUAGGAUUGUAAAAUUCUUUCACCGGGGACGAUAAUGACGGUACCCGGAGAAGAAACCCCGGCUACCUUCAUGCCAGCAGACGCGGUAAUACGAAGGGGGCUAGCGUUUCUCGGAAUUACUGGGCGUAAAGGGCGCGUAGGCGGAUCGUUAAGUCAGGGGUGAAAUCCCGGGGCUCAACCUCGGAACUGCCCUUGAUACUGGCGAUCUUGAGUAUGAGAGAGGUAUGUGGAACUCCGAGUGUAGAGGUGAAAUUCGUAGAUAUUCGGAAGAACACCAGUGGCGAAGGCGACAUACUGGCUCAUUACUGACGCUGAGGCGCGAAAGCGUGGGGAGCAAACAG
rnacentral:rRNA from 1 species